AGUGAACGCUGGCGGUAGGCCCAACACAUGCCAGUCGAACGGCAGCACAGUAAGAGCUUGCUCUUACGGGUGGCGAGUGGCGGACGGGUGAGGAAUACAUCGGAAUCUACUUUUUCGUGGGGGAUAACGUAGGGAAACUUACGCUAAUACCGCAUACGACCUACGGGUGAAAGCAGGGGAUCUUCGGACCUUGCGCGAUUGAAUGAGCCGAUGUCGGAUUAGCUAGUUGGCGGGGUAAAGGCCCACCAAGGCGACGAUCCGUAGCUGGUCUGAGAGGAUGAUCAGCCACACUGGAACUGAGACACGGUCCAGACUCCUACGGGAGGCAGCAGUGGGGAAUAUUGGACAAUGGGCGCAAGCCUGAUCCAGCCAUACCGCGUGGGUGAAGAAGGCCUUCGGGUUGUAAAGCCCUUUUGUUGGGAAAGAAAAGCAGCAGGUUAAUACCCCGCUGUUCUGACGGUACCCAAAGAAUAAGCACCGGCUAACUUCGUG
rnacentral:rRNA from 1 species